CUGCGAAAAGCGCCGGCGAGGUGAUAUGAACCUUUGACCCGGCGAUGUCCGAAUGGGGAAACCCAGUGCAAUCCGUUGCACUAUCGUUAACUGAAUACAUAGGUUAACGAGGCGAACCGGGGGAACUGAAACAUCUAAGUACCCCGAGGAAAAGAAAUCAACCGAGAUUCCCCCAGUAGCGGCGAGCGAACGGGGAGCAGCCCGGAGUCUGAAUCAGCUUGUGUGUUAGUGGAACGGUCUGGAAAGUCCGACGGUACAGGGUGAUAGUCCCGUACACGAAAGCACACWUGCUGUGAACUCGAAGAGUAGGGCGGGACACGUGGUAUCCUGUCUGAAUAUGGGGGGACCAUCCUCCAAGGCUAAAUACUCCUGACUGACCGAUAGUGAACCAGUACCGUGAGGGAAAGGCGAAAAGAACCCCGGCGAGGGGAGUGAAAAAGAACCUGAAACCGUGUACGUACAAGCAGUGGGAGCCUCUUUAUGGGGUGACUGCGUACCUUUUGUAUAAUGGGUCAGCGACUUAUAUUCUGUAGCAAGGUUAACCGUAUAGGGGAGCCGAAGGGAAACCGAGUCUUAACUGGGCGUUAAGUUGCAGGGUAUAGACCCGAAACCCGGUGAUCUAGCCAUGGGCAGGUUGAAGGUUGGGUAACACUAACUGGAGGACCGAACCGACUAAUGUUGAAAAAUUAGCGGAUGACCUGUGGCUGGGGGUGAAAGGCCAAUCAAACCGGGAGAUAGCUGGUUCUCCCCGAAAGCUAUUUAGGUAGCGCCUCGUGAACUCAUCUUCGGGGGUAGAGCACUGUUUCGGCUAGGGGGCCAUCCCGGCUUACCAACCCGAUGCAAACUACGAAUACCGAAGAAUGUUAUCACGGGAGACACACGGCGGGUGCUAACGUCCGUCGUGAAGAGGGAAACAACCCAGACCGCCAGCUAAGGUCCCAAAGUCAUGGUUAAGUGGGAAACGAUGUGGGAAGGCACAGACAGCCAGGAUGUUGGCUUAGAAGCAGCCAUCAUUUAAAGAAAGCGUAAUAGCUCACUGGUCGAGUCGGCCUGCGCGGAAGAUGUAACGGGGCUAAACCAUGCACCGAAGCUGCGGCAGCGACRCUUAUGYGUUGUUGGGUAGGGGAGCGUUCUGUAAGCCGUUGAAGGUGUSCUGUGAGGSRUGCUGGAGGUAUCAGAAGUGCGAAUGCUGACAUAAGUAACGAUAAAGCGGGUGAAAAGCCCGCUCGCCGGAAGACCAAGGGUUCCUGUCCAACGUUAAUCGGGGCAGGGUGAGUCGACCCCUAAGGCGAGGCCGAAAGGCGUAGUCGAUGGGAAACAGGUUAAUAUUCCUGUACUUGGUGUUACUGCGAAGGGGGGACGGAGAAGGCUAUGUCAGCCGGGCGACGGUUGUCCCGGUUUAAGCAUGUAGGCGGAGGUUCCAGGUAAAUCCGGUACCUURUUAACGCUGAGGUGUGAUGACGAGGCACUACGGUGCUGAAGUGAUAAAUGCCCUGCUUCCAGGAAAAGCCUCUAAGCAUCAGGUAACACGAAAUCGUACCCCAAACCGACACAGGUGGUCAGGUAGAGAAUACCAAGGCGCUUGAGAGAACUCGGGUGAAGGAACUAGGCAAAAUGGUGCCGUAACUUCGGGAGAAGGCACGCUGAURUGUAGGUGAAGUCCCUGCGGACGGAGCUGAAAUCAGUCGAAGAUACCAGCUGGCUGCAACUGUUUAUUAAAAACACAGCACUGUGCAAACACGAAAGUGGACGUAUACGGUGUGACGCCUGCCCGGUGCCGGAAGGUUAAUUGAUGGGGUUAGCGGCAACGCGAAGCUCUUGAUCGAAGCCCCGGUAAACGGCGGCCGUAACUAUAACGGUCCUAAGGUAGCGAAAUUCCUUGUCGGGUAAGUUCCGACCUGCACGAAUGGCGUAAUGAUGGCCAGGCUGUCUCCACCCGAGACUCAGUGAAAUUGAACUCGCUGUGAAGAUGCAGUGUACCCGCGGCAAGACGGAAAGACCCCGUGAACCUUUACUAUAGCUUGACACUGAACACUGGUCCUUGAUGUGUAGGAUAGGUGGGAGGCUUUGAAGCGUGGACGCCAGUCUGCGUGGAGCCAACCUUGAAAUACCACCCUUUAAUGGCUGGUGUUCUAACGUAGACCCGUAAUCCGGGUUGCGGACAGUGUCUGGUGGGUAGUUUGACUGGGGCGGUCUCCUCCCAAAGAGUAACGGAGGAGCACGAAGGUUGGCUAAUCCUGGUCGGACAUCAGGAGGUUAGUGCAAUGGCAUAAGCCAGCUUGACUGCGAGCGUGACGGCGCGAGCAGGUGCGAAAGCAGGUCAUAGUGAUCCGGUGGUUCUGAAUGGAAGGGCCAUCGCUCAACGGAUAAAAGGUACUCCGGGGAUAACAGGCUGAUACCGCCCAAGAGUUCAUAUCGACGGCGGUGUUUGGCACCUCGAUGUCGGCUCAUCACAUCCUGGGGCUGAAGUAGGUCCCAAGGGUAUGGCUGUUCGCCAUUUAAAGUGGUACGCGAGCUGGGUUUAGAACGUCGUGAGACAGUUCGGUCCCUAUCUGCCGUGGGCGCUGGAGAAUUGAGGGGGGCUGCUCCUAGUACGAGAGGACCGGAGUGGACGCAUCACUGGUGUUCGGGUUGUCAUGCCAAUGGCACUGCCCGGUAGCUAAAUGCGGAAGAGAUAAGUGCUGAAAGCAUCUAAGCACGAAACUUGCCCCGAGAUGAGUUCUCCCUGAGACCUUGAGUCUCCUGAAGGAACGUUGAAGACGACGACGUUGAUAGGUCGGGUGUGUAAGCGCAGCGAUGCGUUGAGCUAACCGAUACUAAUGAACCGUGAGGCUUAACCUU
rnacentral:rRNA from 1 species